CCCUUAGAUGUUCUGGGCCGCACGCGCGCUACAAUGGUCUUCGCAAACGGAUGCAUUCUCGAAGGAGAAUGCCAAUCUUGGAAUCUAUGCCUUGGUCGGGACAGUUGCUUGCAAUUUUUCGACUCGAACCAGGAAUUCCUUGUAAUCGUGAUUCAUCACAUCACGAUGAAUACGUCCCUGCCCUUUGUACGCACCGCCCGUCGCUCCUACCGAUCGAAGAGUUAGGUGAAUUGUUUUGAUCGAUAAGAUUUGACUAUGGUCAACUCUCGUUGUGAAAUUCUGUGAAUCUGACUGUUUAGAGGAAGGAAAAGUCGUAACA
rnacentral:rRNA from 1 species